rnacentral:lncRNA from 1 species
AGACCUGACUCCAGACAAUUGGAAAAACAUCACCGUGCCUCACAGUGGAAGGAAGGUUGGCUCCUUAACUCUCUUUGCUCAUGACUUGCCCCAAGACAUUCAGAGGUGUCUAGGGGAGAGCUGGUCUGCAGAACUUGCUCAGAAUGUUCAGCUGGUCCCCACAUCUGGAUGAAAGGGCUCUAUCAGACCCAAGAUGAAGAAGCAGGAGGUAAUGAGAACAGAGUCGUGGAUCACAGCCAGGCCAGGAAUAAUGGCAAAGCUAUAAUUACCCUGUAAGACUUCGGACGGAAGUGACUA